rnacentral:piRNA from 1 species
UACCACAGCAGGAAUAUACGAAUCACAGAC